UGUGUAGGCGGUCUUCUAAGUCUGGUGUGAAAUCUCCCGGCUCAACUGGGAGGGUGCGCCGAAAACUGGAAGGCUAGAGUGCGGGAUGGGAGAGUGGAAUUCCUGGUGUAGCGGUGAAAUGCGUAGAUAUCAGGAGGAACACCUGUGGUGUAGACGGCUCUCUGGACCGCAACUGACGCUGAGACACGAAAGCGUGGGUAGCAAACAGGAUUAGAUACCCUGGUAGUCCACGCCCUAAACGAUGCAUAUUUGGUGUGGGCCAUUCAUUUGGUCCGUGCCGGAGCUAACGCGUUAAAUAUGCCGCCUGGGGAGUACGGUCGCAAGGCUGAA
rnacentral:rRNA from 1 species